rnacentral:rRNA from 1 species
CCUACGGGUGGCAGCAGUAGGGAAUCUUCCACAAUGGGCGAAAGCCUGAUGGAGCAAAGCAGCGUGGGUGAAGAAGGUCUUAGGAGUGUAAAACCCUGUUGUUAGAGAAGUAAGUGCGUGAGCGUAACUGUUCACGUUUCGACGGUAUCUAACAAGAAAGGCACGGCUAACUACGUGCGAGGAGCCGCGGUAAUACGUAGGUGGCAAGCGUUAUCCGGAUUUAUUGGGCCUAAAGGGAAAGUGGGCGGUCUUUUAAGUCUGAUGUGAAAGCCUUCGGCUUAACCGGAGUAUUGCAUUUGAUACUGGGAGACUUGAGUACAGAUGAGGAGAGUGGAACUCGAGGUGUAGCGGUGAAAUGCGUAGAUAUAUGGAAGAACACCAGUGGCGAAAGCGGCUCUCUGGUCUGUAACUGACACUGAGGUUCGAAAGUGUGGGUAGCAAACAGGAUUAGAUACCCGAGUAGUC